rnacentral:rRNA from 1 species
UACGUAGGGUGCGAGCGUUGCCCGGAUUUAUUGGGCGUAAAGGGCGCGUAGGCGGCCACGCACGUCCGUUGUGAAAUCGCCCGGCUCAACUGGGCGGGGUCAGCGGAUACGGUGUGGCUAGAGCAAGCUAGGGGGCAAUGGAAUUCCCGGUGUGAGUGGUGGAAUGCGUAGAUAUCGGGAGGAACACCAGUGGCGAAGGCGGUUGCCUGGAGCUUUGCUGACGCUGAUGCGC